GACGAACGCUGGCGGCGUGCUUAACACAUGCAAGUCGAACGCUGAAGCUCAGCUUUUGUUGGGUGGAUGAGUGGCGAACGGGUGAGUAACACGUGAGUAACCUGCCUCCUUCUUUGGGAUAACGCCCGGAAACGGGUGCUAAUACUGGAUAUUCACUGGUCUUCGCAUGGGGGUUGGUGGAAAGGGUUUUUCUGGUGGGGGAUGGGCUCGCGGCCUAUCAGCUUGGUGGUGGGGUGAUGGCCUACCAAGGCUUUGACGGGUAGCCGGCCUGAGAGGGUGACCGGUCACAUUGGGACUGAGAUACGGCCCAGACUCCGACGGGAGGCAGCAGUGGGGAAGAUUGCACAAUGGGCGCAAGCCUGAUGCAGCGACGCCGCGUGAGGGAUGGAGGCCUUCGGGUUGUGAACCUCUUUCGCUCAUGGUCAAGCCGAAACAAUGGUUGUGGUGAGGGUAGUGGGUAAAGAAGCGCCGGCUAACUACGUG
rnacentral:rRNA from 1 species